AUUGAACGCUGGCGGCAUGCUUUACACAUGCAAGUCGAACGGUAACAGGCCGCAAGGUGCUGACGAGUGGCGAACGGGUGAGUAAUGCAUCGGAACGUGCCCAGUCGUGGGGGAUAACUACUCGAAAGAGUAGCUAAUACCGCAUACGAUCUAUGGAUGAAAGCGGGGGACCGUAAGGCCUCGCGCGAUUGGAGCGGCCGAUGUCAGAUUAGGUAGUUGGUGGGGUAACGGCUCACCAAGCCAACGAUCUGUAGCUGGUCUGAGAGGACGACCAGCCACACUGGGACUGAGACACGGCCCAGACUCCUACGGGAGGCAGCAGUGGGGAAUUUUGGACAAUGGGCGCAAGCCUGAUCCAGCAAUGCCGCGUGCAGGAAGAAGGCCUUCGGGUUGUAAACUGCUUUUGUACGGAACGAAACGGCUCUGGUUAAUACCCGGGGCUAAUGACGGUACCGUAAGAAUAAGCACCGGCUAACUACGUG
rnacentral:rRNA from 1 species